UACAGAGGUCUCAACCGUUGUUCGGAUUCAUUUGGGCGUAAAGGGUGCGUAGGCGGUCGCGCAAGUCGGAUGUGAAAUCUCAGGGCUCAACCCUGAAACUGCAUUCGAUACUGCGUGGCUAGAGUGCUGGAGGGGAGACUGGAAUUUACGGUGUAGCAGUGAAAUGCGUAGAUAUCGUAAGGAAGACCAGUGGCGAAGGCGAGUCUCUGGACAGCAACUGACGCUGAGGCACGAAGGCCAGGGGAGCAAACGGG
rnacentral:rRNA from 1 species